rnacentral:misc_RNA from 1 species
UCCGGUUUGUCACCGGCAGUCUCCCUAGAGUGCCCUUGCGUAGCAACUAGGGACAAGGGUUGCGCUCGUUGCGGGACUUAACCCAACAUCUCACGACACGAGCUGACGACAGCCAUGCAGCACCUGUCACCGGUCCAGCCGAACUGAAGGAAUCCAUCUCUGGAAACCGCGACCGGGAUGUCAAGGGUUGGUAAGGUGGGGAUGACGUUCUUGCUAGGUAA